AGACGCAGGGGACGUGUCAGACGUGCGACAGGAAGGGCUCAGCGAGGCGAGAGCGAAGCUGUGAGGAAGGAAGGCAGGGUAGAGACCAGAAUCGAGGAAGAUCGGAGUGGAAGAAAAUGGAGCUGGUGUCUCAGUGAAGACAUGCCCAGAGAUGCCCAAAGAUGCCCAAUGGAUGAGCUGCUGCAACCUGUCUCAGCCAUGGGGGAUGGGAGAGGAAAGUGGAGAAAGGACAAAAAAAAAAAAAAACGAGUAGAGAGAAAAGAAGUGAAUAUGUAAUGCAAAAAUUAAAAUUACCUGAUAAGUCAGGACAUGGGAAGUUCUGCCUCCCUAAUGGGGACCCAGGAAGAUGUAGGAAGAGAAGUAAAGCCACUUUCUAAGGACAUGGAGAAAUUCAGAACACCAAGCCGCCCAGGUUUCCUGGCUCCCAGUCUUGGCACACAGUGCUCCACCUUGCUGGGUAAUUCAGCCACCUCUGAUGGGAGAAGCUCUUCAGUCUUCCAUCUGCCAGAGGCUAAGCUGCAGGAGGUACGUGGCCAUAAGAAACCCGUGACACCCUCCCCUGGAACUGUACCCACGUCCCACACGGACAGAUGCUUCACUCCUCCACUUCUUGGCAGUACUUCCUACAGCCCCUGGGUGAACUUCUCCAGCUGGCUGUGAUCGACCUCCAGAGGGCAUGACCGUGGCUGAGACUCAGCUUUUCAUGUUCCCAGCUCUGGCUUAGGGAGUCACCCCAAGGAAGCAGCAGAUUAAGGAGAAAUGUGGACGCAUCCUUCCUGAGUGUUGGUUCCCCCAGAGAGAUGACAGACCCCAUGGCCAGCACUUCAACAUAUAUUGAGCUGUGGGAAUUAGAAUCUAGGACAAUUUGGGAGAAAAAAGGCUUUUGUCUUUAAGGCGUUUACAGCUUAAGGAGAGGAUAUCAUAUUCCAUAGCUGUGACAAAUCAAAAAAUUAAAAGUAGUCUUUCCAAGGAUGGUUUCAGUAGUUUAGCCCUAAGGAGUGAGGAAUUUGUUUGGUUAGACAUACUGAAGAUGGAGACUAUACUUCUGAGAAUAAGCCUAAAGACUGUGAGUCUCGAAAGCCAAUUUACACACCACGCAGAAAACUGACGGGUCUCAGGAAAACUAAAAUGAGGAAAGCCAGCAGAGGCCCAGGCAGACGUCAAAUUAAUCUCUAGAAACAGAG
rnacentral:lncRNA from 1 species